AAAGCGUUUCUAGAAUGA
rnacentral:rRNA from 1 species